UCAGGCCGGCGCCUGGCCCACGUGACUCUCUCUCCCCAUGCUGGAGCGGCCGGCCGCCAUGCUUACUCCUGGCUAGGAAGGAAUGGAAGGGUUUGCUCAGGAUAUGACUUGGCUUUCUGGGGUAUUUUGGGACAAAGCCUAAAAUAUUCCAGUUUUUCCAGUUAGAAUUGUGGGAAGCAACAUUCCAUAUUUUUGGUUUGGAGUAUCUUGCAAAUGUACUCAUUUAUCCAUGUAUCCACUCCCAUGCUUUCCUGUGUGAGGGGCAAUCCAAAAUAAUAUAUUAAAACAAUGCAUACAUUUUAACACUGUGUGGGACUAUUUUUUAUUUAUUUUGAACUUGUUGCCUUAUCACAUUGCUAAAACAAUGGUACAUAUAGUUACA